GAGAUUUUUGAAAAGAAGAUGGACGCCAUUAAAGUACAUCGUGGGAUAGUAAAAGGGUCAGCAAAAUGCUCAUCAAUGUCCAGUACCAUGGAGAAAAAAGUACCUCAAACUGCAGCCUGGUUUUUCCUUUCAAAGUUUAAUUCGAGAAGGCACAUCAAUCCACUGGUGCAAAAGAAGAGAACACCUCUGCCAUAGGAGAUUCAGCAGAAAAAGGCCAAACAGAUGGUCCAGGAGGUUCUGGAGAAGAGUUAAAUGGGAGAGGAAAUAAUGGAGGAGUAUAGUAGAGCACCUUGACACACUG